AUUGAACGCUGGCGGAAUGCUUUACACAUGCAAGUCGAGCGGCAGCGCGGCCUUCGGGCUGGCGGCGAGCGGCGAACGGGUGAGUAAUGCAUCGGAACAUGCCCAGUCGUGGGGGAUAACACUUCGAAAGAAGUGCUAAUACCGCAUACGUCCUGAGGGGGAAAGCGGGGGAUCGCAAGACCUCGCGCGAUUGGAGUGGCCGAUGUCAGAUUAGCUAGUUGGUGGGGUAAAGGCCUACCAAGGUGACGAUCUGUAGCUGGUCUGAGAGGAUGAUCAGCCACACUGGGACUGAGACACGGCCCAGACUCCUACGGGAGGCAGCAGUGGGGAAUUUUGGACAAUGGGGGCAACCCUGAUCCAGCCAUUCCGCGUGAGUGAAGAAGGCCUUCGGGUUGUAAAGCUCUUUCGGCAGGAACGAAACGGUGGGCUCUAACAUAGUCCGCUAAUGACGGUACCUGAAGAAGAAGCACCGGCUAACUACGUG
rnacentral:rRNA from 1 species